rnacentral:rRNA from 1 species
GAUGAACGCUCGCUCCAGGCUUAACACAUGCAAGUCGCGGGGCAGCAUGGGGGUUGCUUGCAAUCCCCGAUGGCGACCGGCGCACGGGUGAGUAACGCGUAUCCAACCUGCCCUUCACCACGGGAUAACCCGGCGAAAGUCGGACUAAUACCGUAUGUUGUCCAUUGACGGCAUCCGAUUUGGACGAAAGGUUUGGCGGUGAAGGAUGGGGAUGCGUCCGAUUAGCUGGACGGCGGGGUGACGGCCCGCCGUGGCGACGAUCGGUAGGGGUUCUGAGAGGAAGGUUCCCCACACUGGAACUGAGACACGGUCCAGACUCCUACGGGAGGCAGCAGUGAGGAAUAUGGGUCAAUGGGCGUAAGCCUGAACCAGCCAAGUAGCGUGCAGGAUGACGGCCCUAUGGGUUGUAAACUGCUUUUAUGCGGGGAUAAAGUGGCCCACGUGUGGGUUUUUGCAGGUACCGCAUGAAUAAGGACCGGCUAAUUCCGUG